UUGGUAUCACUUUGGUCCUUUAAUGUUUCCAGAGCCAAUGCCAAAACGACACGUGUACCACAGCUAACGCUUUCUAUCAGUUCGCCGCCGCUGCUCCGCCGAUUGUCUCUCUAUCAGUUCGCCACCGUCACUGAUUCUCUCUCUCAGUUCUCAAUCACCUAAAACCAUGGUAAGCGUUCGAUUCACUAAUUUCUCAUUUUUCGAAUUGAUUGUUUUCGGGUUUAGAAUUGGGAAUUUUUUUAGGGUUUUAGAAUUUUUUAGGGUUUUCGAAUUGGGGAAUGGUUUUGGAAUUGGGGAAUGGGGAUAUUGGGGAAUUAGGGUUUAGAAUUGGUAAGUCAUGACUUUGUUUGGUUUGUUUCAUUGAUAUUAAGCUGCAACAGUAAAAUAACUUUUAAUAGCUUGAAAUUGUUUUUGAUUUGUUUCCUUGAAAUUGCUUGAUAUUAAGCUGCAAUAGUAAAAUUGCUUGUAAUAGCUUAAUUCGUAAAUUGCUUGUAAUAGCUUAGUUCCUGUUUUAACCAAAACUGCUUCUUAAUCCACAGUUGAUGUGUUCGGGUAGGGUGGGAUGAUUUAUAUGGUCUUUUUUAUUGCUGGAGAACAUGUUUCUCUGUUUUUUUUGUUCAAAGUGCUACUAGUUAAAGAUUAACAAACAAAAAAAAAAGGAAGAAAAGGAAAAAAAAGAAAAGUUGAAUUUCGUUGGAUGGCUUUAUUUACUUCAUUCUCAAUAUAAUUAAUGAUUUUAUUUUUUCUGUAAUGUUUCUUUAAUAGUAGCCUGAACUCAAGUUUCUAUAUAGUGAUACAUAUGUCCAAAGUCAAAACAUAGUUUUGUUAAAGGAGGAAUUUUCUUUGUUGAACCAAUUUUUAUUUCAAGCGUUUGAUUUUUGCUCUCUGACUGUUUUGUACUAUGUAAAUGUGAAGAUGUUUGGUAUAUGUGACAUUCCUAUUUUGAGAUAUGUGUAUAUGUGAAUAUUGUAAUUCCAUAUGGUUGGUAAAUGUAAACAUUUUAUAACAGCUGAAAAUGCAUUGAUGAUCAUAAGUAUUACAUGCAAUUCAUGGCUCCGGUUUACAUUUAUUUGAUUUGUUGCUGGUUGAACACAAACUGUUUGAUAAAUGUUCUUGCAAGUGAUUAUUUGAUAAAUCUACUUUAGUGUUAUUUUAUAUGAAUUGGGUAAGGGAAUGACUUCAAGAUGGCAUCCUUACCUUGUGCAUUUGUCGCAAAGUUACAAUGUGUUAGUCAUGUUUGGUAAAUUUGAUAAACUUUUUGUUCAGGUUGAUUUUCAUGAUUUUUCCUCAGGAAAGUUGUUUCGGUUUACAUCUAUGAAUUAUGCUUUCUUAUAUGCACUGGAGAUUUUUAGUAAUGGUAUUUUUGAGUCAUUUCUCAUAUUCCAUGGAUUGAUUUAUCAUUGGGAAUUCUGUAUGAUCUUGUGGAUGCUUUUACUUACUUUUUUUUUUUUUGUUUCAUUUUAUCUUUUCUUGUUUAUACCCACGCUUAAACAGAACUUGAUACAAAAAUAUGUAUAUUAGAUAACUGGUUGUGGCGAAGAACAUUUGGUAAAAUCUAUUUAUGUAUUGGAUUUGGUGCAAUCUCUGAGUUUUGUUUGAAAAGUUUAGAGCUAUCGAUGUCUGUUUGAUGUUUUCAUUAUUUCAAUAUUGUUGGCAUGAAGGGUGAAUUUACUGUAUCUGUCUCAAAUUUUAGUAAUAGAUUCCGUGAUUCCAGAAUCACUUAUAAAUUUCAUAUUCUAGAGGGUUGGCUUAUAUGUAUGUAUUGGUUAUCCUCAAAACUCGCCACCUUUUCUUACAUGAAUAUGUGCAUUGUAAAUUACUACAUUGGUGAUGUUGGAAAUGGACUUAACACACCAUUGAUUACUUAAUUUUUGGAAAAUUGAUUGGAUGCGGUUGGAGGAGCUACAAACCCCAAAUAAGUAGUUCAUGAAGUUUAGAAUGCAGGCCACAAGGAUUGAACUGAAAAAAAGUACUGAAAAAGACUUAGAAGUUGAAAGAGAAGAAGUACAAGUUGCUGUUCCACCAAUAGAAGAUGUUAAAUUGACUGAGAAUGAACAAAAUAAACAAGCAAUGUCUUUUGCUUUUGUCACUGCUGCGACGGAAGGGGCUGCUGUUGCUGCGGAUCAAACUGCUUCGAGGUUGUUCGUCUCACGAGUAUGCCUCAUUACCCCACAAAGACCAAGGAAGAAUUGUCAUUUAUCAAGAUUCAUACAGCGUUUCACGGAUAUUUGGUAUGACUGUCUUGUUUUUUAUUUAUAUGGUCCAAUGCUAUUCAAACUAUCACCUACAUGAAUCAAAUCAUGCCCUUUUUCAUGCAGCAAUGUCAUUUCAUAUUGAAGGUGUAUUUGGUGUUGGACACACGUUGUUAAAUUCAAUUAUAUCAUAUUUUUGAACUAUUACAUGUGACAUGUCAGUGUCGGUGUAGUGUGUAGGGUCCAUGUCUAUGUCAGUUAUUUUAUUCAUAGCAUUUUUUAGGCUAAAUAAUGGUGACAUUGCUGCUGUCAAAAAACUUCUUAAUGAGGUCUGUUUCUUUCAAA